UGGCUGAUGGUGUAAUGGUAACACAGGACAUUUUGGUUGUCUCGUUCAAGGUUCGAGUCCUUGUCGGCCAACAA
rnacentral:tRNA from 1 species